ACAUCCGUAGUUGAUCGUUGAUUGCACCAAUUCCUAAUGGAUUCACAAAAUAGUGGAUACUUCUCUACUUUAUUAAGUGGAGGAUCAAGCACCAAUGAUCUCUUACUUACUCAAGAUUAUGGUGACCCUAAUGCCGAUGGUCCUACCAUGACUAAUGUCACUAUUAAACCUUCCAACACUAGAAAGAGUCAAAGAGGAUCCAAUUUUGCAAUGGAGGAUGAUUUGAUGCUCAUCUCAACGUACCUAAAUACAAGCUUAGAUGCGGUGCAAGGAAACCAACAAAAACUAGAAGCAUAUUGGGAUAGGAUUGAGAAAUAUUUCAAUGAAUAUAAGCAAUAACAUAACAUCUUUCGCACUAAAGGUUCGCUACAACAUCGGUGGGAUAAAAUACAUAGAGAAGUGAAUAAAUUCUGCAGACAUUAUGCAAAAAUUGAAGAAAGACAACAAAGUGGCGUUACCGAGCAAGACAAGGUAAGGAUAGCUUAUAUGGUGCUAUCUUGUUUUGUUAACUGUGUUAAUUCUUAUGGAUUAUUAUUUUUGUUGUAUCAAUUGUUUGGAUUUUUGAAUAAUUCUGUGAGGUAUGGAUUUUCUAGCUUAUGAGUAGCUUAUGAAAGUAAGUGGACGUUAUGUGGUUGUACUCUAUAAACUAGAUAUUUCCCUCCAAUUGUUGUACUCUUUAAAUGAAAUAUUAAUGCUUUGUGGUUUAGGCUUUCUUUUGCUUUGACAUUUUCAGCUGUAAAUGACAUAUACGGCUUAUAUUUUUGUGCUUGUAAAGUCUCCUUAUUCCUUUGUUGUAAGAGGCAGCGUUGUAUCUAGUCUUUUGGAAUAGUGGAAACUUAUG